CAGCAGCCACGGGAAUACGAAGGGUGCAAGCGUUACUCGGAAUUACUGGGCGUAAAGCGUGCGUAGGUGGUGGUUUAAGUCCGUUGUGAAAGCCCUGGGCUCAACCUGGGAAUUGCAGUGGAUACUGGGUCACUAGAGUGUGGUAGAGGAUAGUGGAAUUUCCGGUGUAGCAGUGAAAUGCGUAGAGAUCGGAAGGAACAUCUGUGGCGAAGGCGACUAUCUGGGCCAACACUGACACUGAGGCACGAAAGCGUGGGGAGCAAACAGGAUUAGAUACCCCUGUAGUCCCUGUCUCUUAUAU
rnacentral:rRNA from 1 species